GGCCGGAACCAGACCUGUUGCUAGCUAGUAUAAAAGCCAAGAAAAAGAAAGACUAUACUAUUUUCUUAAUACAUCUUGAGAAAGAAGAAUGGUUAUAAUUACAGUUGAAAAGAUUUGCUGUAUGGUUAGUUCUCAAAUAUACCUUUACGACGUUGUCUACAAAACUACCUUAUGUUGCAGCUAACAGCUGAACCCGUUCAUCGUUUAUAACCGCUGAAACCGUGUGGUAAAGAUCACCAUCUAAGUGUUAAAGGUGACUGCUGUAACAACGUGACAAAGAUGACAGCUGCAACACCAUGUUAAAGAUCAAUCACGACUGUAUCGAUGUGAUAAGACUCUAACAUUACUACCUUAUCUAAUGGAAAGCUGGGGUCGAUUAACGAGAAAAACAUGAAGAAAACGAAGCUUUAAUACAAAAGGGCGUGGCUCAGAGGUUAGGAUGUUCCAUAAGAUUCGAAGGCCUGGGCGUGAUGCCGCUAAACAAGAUCUGCACUUUCAGCUAUGGGCGUGUUAUAAAAGUGGCAUUCAAUCUCGUUAUUCAGUUCCAGUAGCCGGAAAAAAAAGCCCCCGGGGCAGUGGAAGUUGCUGACUGCCUGCCUUCCUACUGGUUGGUUAGUAAUCUAAAUUAAGAACGGCUACAGUUGACCCUCAUAGGGGUCUCUGACCUGGCCGUUAAUCUUAUGUGCGCCUAAGAUACCUGUCAAUUUUGAAAUAACAAUACGGAUUGUUUCUUCCAAGAUUUAACGUUUAAAGCUAUAAUCUCGAAAAAAUCAAUUUCAAAAAAUCCGAAGGUGAGAUUUUGAUCAGUAUUAGAAAAAAUGUGUAAAGAAGAUUCUGUAUUGAAAGAUCACAGUGAAGAAAGCUAAAAUGUUUUUCAAUGGUUAAAUGUUAAUGGAUGUUACAGUUAAGGUUUCAGUGUCAUAUGAAGGUUGUUGAAGUGUGUUCAGUAUAUUCAAAAGUUUUAAAGUUGGUAAAUAAUAAAACCAAGCUUCCAUUUUAAACAGACUGCCGUGAAGAUAUAUGAAUUGUUUUUAUAUGGUUUCAAGGUAAUCAAAAUUUGAAAAACAAUGUGUGAGCGUUUCAAAAGAUUAAUGCGAAGGAGUGCGGAAUGUGUUCCAAGGGUUGAAUGUAGAAUAAUAUUACAACCAAUACUUUAGCAUCAAACUUUGCUGUAAAGAUGUUCGGAAUACGUUCCAAAGUUUAAAUUUUGAUCACGAUUAAAGCC